CAGGCUUAACACAUGCAAGUCGAGGGGCAGCAUGGUCUUAGCUUGCUAAGGCCGAUGGCGACCGGCGCACGGGUGAGUAACACGUAUCCAACCUGCCGUCUACUCUUGGACAGCCUUCUGAAAGGAAGAUUAAUACAAGAUGGCAUCAUGAGUCCACAUGUUCACAUGAUUAAAGGUAUUCCGGUAGACGAUGGGGAUGCGUUCCAUUAGAUAGUAGGCGGGGUAACGGCCCACCUAGUCUUCGAUGGAUAGGGGUUCUGAGAGGAAGGUCCCCCACAUUGGAACUGAGACACGGUCCAAACUCCUACGGGAGGCAGCAGUGAGGAAUAUUGGUCAAUGGGCGAGAGCCUGAACCAGCCAAGUAGCGUGAAGGAUGACUGCCCUAUGGGUUGUAAACUUCUUUUAUAAAGGAAUAAAGUCGGGUAUGCAUACCCGUUUGCAUGUACUUUAUGAAUAAGGAUCGGCUAACUCCGUGCCAGCAGCCGCGGUAAUACGGAGGAUCCGAGCGUUAUCCGGAUUUAUUGGGUUUAAAGGGAGCGUAGAUGGAUGUUUAAGUCAGUUGUGAAAGUUUGCGGCUCAACCGUAAAAUUGCAGUUGAUACUGGAUAUCUUGAGUGCAGUUGAGGCAGGCGGAAUUCGUGGUGUAGCGGUGAAAUGCUUAGAUAUCACGAAGAACUCCGAUUGCGAAGGCAGCCUGCUAAGCUGCAACUGACAUUGAGGCUCGAAAGUGUGGGUAUCAAACAGGAUUAGAUACCCUGGUAGUCCACACGGUAAACGAUGAAUACUCGCUGUUUGCGAUAUACAGCAAGCGGCCAAGCGAAAGCGUUAAGUAUUCCACCUGGGGAGUACGCCGGCAACGGUGAAACUCAAAGGAAUUGACGGGGGCCAGCACAAGCGGAGGAACAUGUGGUUUAAUUCGAUGAUACGCGAGGAACCUUACCCGGGCUUAAAUUGCAGAUGAAUUACGGUGAAAGCCGUAAGCCGCAAGGCAUCUGUGAAGGUGCUGCAUGGUUGUCGUCAGCUCGUGCCGUGAGGUGUCGGCUUAAGUGCCAUAACGAGCGCAACCCUUGUUGUCAGUUACUAACAGGUCAUGCUGAGGACUCUGACAAGACUGCCAUCGUAAGAUGUGAGGAAGGUGGGGAUGACGUCAAAUCAGCACGGCCCUUACGUCCGGGGCUACACACGUGUUACAAUGGGGGGUACAGAGGGCCGCUACCACGCGAGUGGAUGCCAAUCCCAAAAACCUCUCUCAGUUCGGACUGGAGUCUGCAACCCGACUCCACGAAGCUGGAUUCGCUAGUAAUCGCGCAUCAGCCACGGCGCGGUGAAUACGUUCCCGGGCCUUGUACACACCGCCCGUCAAGCCAUGGGAGCCGGGGGUACCUGAAGUGCGUAACCGCGAGGAGCGCCCUAGGGUAAAACUGGUGACUGGGGC
rnacentral:rRNA from 1 species